rnacentral:rRNA from 1 species
GACGAGCGCUGGCGGCGUGCCUAAUACAUGCCAGUUGAGCGCUGAAGGUUGGUACUUGUACCAACUGGAUGAGCAGCGAACGGGUGAGUAACGCGUGGGGAAUCUGCCUUUGAGCGGGGGACAACAUUUGGAAACGAAUGCUAAUACCGCAUAAAAACUUUAAACACAAGUUUUAAGUUUGAAAGAUGCAAUUGCAUCACUCAAAGAUGAUCCCGCGUUGUAUUAGCUAGUUGGUGAGGUAAAGGCUCACCAAGGCGAUGAUACAUAGCCGACCUGAGAGGGUGAUCGGCCACAUUGGGACUGAGACACGGCCCAAACUCCUACGGGAGGCAGCAGUAGGGAAUCUUCGGCAAUGGACGAAAGUCUGACCGAGCAACGCCGCGUGAGUGAAGAAGGUUUUCGGAUCGUAAAACUCUGUUGGUAGAGAAGAACGUUGGUGAGAGUGGAAAGCUCAUCAAGUGACGGUAACUACCCAGAAAGGGACGGCUAACUACGUG